rnacentral:lncRNA from 1 species
UUUUGGCGGGCAGGUUUGGGCGGAUUUGUGGAUUUGCGGGUACAAUUGCCAUCCCUAUGUUUAAUGAAUUUACUACAGCAGGUUCAACUUCAAUGUAUUCAAUGAAAAAAUCACAAAGGACAAUCUCAUUUUAGAAACAUUAAAGAAGAAAUCUAUUUGCCAGAUACAAGAUAUCCCCACACAUAAGUCAGGCUCACCUGCCACCCCAUAUAUAACAGACUUUUCUUGUCCCUUAAUCACAAAAAUUCCAUUAAAUACAUGUCUUCAAAAAUGGCAGAAAAUCAUGCCCCAUUUCACUUAUCGCCUGCCCAGAUCAUUAACGUAGUCUAAAUGAUUACUUCCUUGCCAUUGUACAGACCAAAAUUUCAAAGAACACUGCAUAAUUUCCAGCCCAUAAUGUCUUUGUCAUAAUUCUAUGUCAUGCAUAUAUGGUUGAUCUCAUUUUGUAAGGGGAAAGCAUGGAAAACAAUAAAUCCACCUUAUUUUUCUCAAAGGACUGUCAUGGCAUGAAGAAUCAUGAAAGUUGUCAUCGGGACAUCUAAUAACAAAAAAUAAAAUAUUUAUAUAGCUAAAAGUGUCAUUCUACCAGUAACCAAGUUAGUAAUUGUCAGGCAGACACAUUGAAACUGAGGACUAAAAAAUUGCAAGCAUCCUACGCCAUUCGAAAGAUAGCAAAAUAAUCUCGUCAGAUUAGGAUUAUUGUAAUCCAUGUUUUCAUCAUAAAAUUAAUCAAUUGGUGCAUCAAAAUGAUCUAAAAGAUAAAACAUGAAAACCAAAGAGUAGCAACAUUCAUAACAAUGCUAACAGAUAUAGGCUUUACCUGACUAAAAUUCUUUAGAUUCCUCUGAGCUGCUGAAGAAGUGUACUUAGGAUUUUUUGCGGGUUUCCGUAUUUAAAAUCACAAAUGUUUAAUAUAUAAAUUUAUAAUAAUAACCUCAAAUUCCAUAUAACAUACUCAAUUUUAUAUUUAAACAAUGUAAAUGAAAAAUUAAAAUUUCAACAUCAAUCCAAUACAAAUUCUCAAAUUUAAGUAUAAAUUACACAAAUCUAUUUUAAAAACACAAACCAAUAUUUAAAAAUAAUAAUUACAUUUCAUAUUAUCAUUUAAAACAAGCUCAAAAAGAAGAUAUUCAUUUCAUUCACCACCAUAAGCACCCAUCUAACACAAUGCCUACAAUAAUAAUUAAGAUUAAUAUUUUCAAAUACUAAUCCAAAGAAAAAAAUUAUAAUAAUAAAAUAAUUCAUGUAUUAAGUUAAAGAAAAAUAGCACGUAUAAAAUUAUAAUAGAUAUAUAAUAAUCCAUGAAUUAAGUUGGGUGUAGGGCGCUGGCUCACUGUCACAAGCUCACGGCUGAAAAAGAAAAGAAUGAUUGAAUGAAGACAGAGAUAAGAGAUGGUCAGAUGGGUGCGCGGCUAAGUCAAAGGGAAAUGCCUUUAGUUUUCUUUAGGUCAUGACUUUAGAAUGGGAGAUGGGUCAUGUACACACAUACACAACUUUGGGCCUUUGGCUAUUUGGUAAUUUGAAUAAUAACAUUAUUUUCUUUAUACAUUUUUAAAUUAAAAAUAUUGCGGGUCUAGUGGAUAUCCAUGCGGGUAUCCACCGGAUAUAAGGUUAAUAUCAAACCCACCCGCAUCCAUGUGCAGGUUUUAGUUUAUAAUACUAAACCCGCCCGCAACGGGUAAAAUUACCUGCAACGGGCGGGUUUUGGCGGGCAGGUUUGGGCGGAUUUGUGGAUUUGCGGGUACAAUUGCCAUCCCUAUGUUUAAUGAAUUUACUACAGCAGGUUCAACUUCAAUGUAUUCAAUGAAAAAAUCACAAAGGACAAUCUCAUUUUAGAAACAUUAAAGAAGAAAUCUAUUUGCCAGAUACAAGAUAUCCCCACACAUAAGUCAGGCUCACCUGCCACCCCAUAUAUAACAGACUUUUCUUGUCCCUUAAUCACAAAAAUUCCAUUAAAUACAUGUCUUCAAAAAUGGCAGAAAAUCAUGCCCCAUUUCACUUAUCGCCUGCCCAGAUCAUUAACGUAGUCUAAAUGAUUACUUCCUUGCCAUUGUACAGACCAAAAUUUCAAAGAACACUGCAUAAUUUCCAGCCCAUAAUGUCUUUGUCAUAAUUCUAUGUCAUGCAUAUAUGGUUGAUCUCAUUUUGUAAGGGGAAAGCAUGGAAAACAAUAAAUCCACCUUAUUUUUCUCAAAGGACUGUCAUGGCAUGAAGAAUCAUGAAAGUUGUCAUCGGGACAUCUAAUAACAAAAAAUAAAAUAUUUAUAUAGCUAAAAGUGUCAUUCUACCAGUAACCAAGUUAGUAAUUGUCAGGCAGACACAUUGAAACUGAGGACUAAAAAAUUGCAAGCAUCCUACGCCAUUCGAAAGAUAGCAAAAUAAUCUCGUCAGAUUAGGAUUAUUGUAAUCCAUGUUUUCAUCAUAAAAUUAAUCAAUUGGUGCAUCAAAAUGAUCUAAAAGAUAAAACAUGAAAACCAAAGAGUAGCAACA